GCCAUUGUAGUGUAGAGGUAUCACAACACGUUGUGGCCGUGUUAACCCUGGUUCGAUUCCAGGCAAUGGCA